CUCAGUCACUGACAACACCAAAGCUAGAAUUAGUGUCUUGAGACAUUUUCUGACGACGAAUUGAGCUUGAAAAUCCUUAACGAUAGGCUGUGGGGUCAGUACGAGAUGUGUGAUCACCGGCUCCAGUACAUGGUUCCGUCGUUAUCUGUGCAACUAUCGCUUCCUUUUUAACCAAAAUGAAAUGACGAUUUAAGUCAACUACUGACAUUAAACAGCGUGGAUGACUGUCAUCUAAAAUAUCAGCUUCGUGAGGUAUAAAAACACCAGUUACU
rnacentral:misc_RNA from 1 species